GCCAGCACCACCAGCUGGAUCUCAGGGCCCGCCUCAAAGUCCAGAGAGUUGUCUUUCUGCAGCCGGAUCUCCCCUGCACCAGAGGGAGGGAAACCCCAGAGAACAACAUAUAGGUGAUCCUUUGUCUGCUGUUGGUUUGGUCGCUGGCCUCCACUUUGGCAAUCCAAGUGCCUUGAUGAAGAGAGAGUGGAAAGGUCAUUGACGUUUUUAAUGGUAUCGAUUGGAAAUAGAAGGAAUAACGGAGGUGGAUGAAGACCAGGCAGGUGGAGGUGAGAGCGGGUCGUCCUCGGUCUGAAACCUCAACCUGCAGCUUCCGCCCCGAGAAACCUGCCCUC